GGGGCUGUGGUGGAAUUGGUAUACGCAAAAGGUUGUCACCCUUUUGGCACUUCGGUGCAUUGUGGGUUCGAAUCCCACCAGCCCCACC
rnacentral:tRNA from 1 species